rnacentral:lncRNA from 1 species
GGCUCUUCUUCGAGUCUUCUCAGAGGUUGGAGAUUCCCUGUCUUCUCCAACCUCUGCCAAGUCUUCAGAGAGGUUGGAGUGCGCCUGUCGGAGGUACUAGACCCCAGAUGAGGAUCUCAGGAAGAUCCACAAAGCUGCGUCCAGGGGAACGAACGUGUGGAAGCUGCAGCGGAGCCUCCUGCUCAAGAGUAAAGGACCGGUCUGAAACCUACAAGAACAGAAGAGCCAUGUGACCAGAUCCCUGGUUUGGCAGAGGAGACAUGCGAGAAGACGGAACGUUUUGGCCGAGGAGACAUCUGGCAGGGUGGAACGGAGGGAACAGGUGUGGCAGAGAGAAUAUCUGAGAAGCUCGCAGGAUUCCCAGAAGGAGCACUGGGAGUAGAUUGCCUGUUUUCCCGAAGGAACGGCAAGUUCCAAAGCGAGAAAGAAGAAAUUCCGUGGAUAGGGAGCCAGCCAGGUUUCCUGCAGAGAUUCACGGGAAGCUUUUGAGCAGGGGAGUCAGAAGAUGAGCGGUGAGUAUUAGGACUUUCCAGUCACGGCGUGACGCAGGGUUUGGCCAGUUCUUCCUGUAAAGGGGCAGGUGGGAAACGCUUGUAGGCCCGGUGGUCUCUGUCAUGUCUGCUGAAGCCUGCUGUAGCAGUGUGGAAGCAGUCAGAGAUGACACGUAAGCAAAUGGUCCUGACUGGCCUCUGGUAAAGCGUCGAUUCCAGAAGCAUUUAACAGACCUAAUAACCUUUCAAACCGCACAGGGUUUCUUUCCCAGGUCCUGUUUCAGGAAAGUUUUUGGCGGCUUACAAGGACUGUGUCCAUCAUGCUUGGGCUCUCUUAUCUUUCCCAGGAUCCUGAAUAGGGCAUCCCCCGUUCAUCCAUAGGGCUCUGGGAUGUCUUGGUCUUACUGUUUCCCUGCCAAACCCGGUGCCAUCUCGUCAUGAUCACCCACUGGAGAAGAGAGGAGGUGCUGGAGUGAACCGGUUCGGGGAAGCCCCAUUCAUCCCUGGGGUCCCAGAAUGAACCGUUGUUACCAUGUGCCCCUGUUCUUGCCUUCCUCCCUGCUCUAAUGGACGUGUGUUAGCCUGGGAUCAGCCUUGGUCUGGGUGCUAUCGUUCUGUUGCACCUGUGGCCUUUGUCCGGACUCUGUCCUUGUCUGCGUGACGUGAGAGUGACUGUGGGUGAGAGCGUUCCAGCAAGACAAUGAUGAUCUCUGCUGUCUGAUUCCCACUUCCCAGAUUCUCACAGUAGACGAGGAGCCUGUUUUUCAGCUAGCUGCUGCAAGGAGCUGGACAUUUCUCCCUUCAAAUAGGACCUGGAAGGCCUGGAAGCAUCUGGAGAAGGGCAUGGCUGUGAGUAGAGAAACAGAGGAUACAGGCUAAAGCAGGAGGAAGCGAGAGGACUCACGGAAAGCCUUGCUGCACUCUCCAAAAGAGCUGCCCUUUUCACGUGAAGAGCUAUGUGAUCGGAUCCCCGGUUUGGCAGAGUAGACAUGCGAGAAGACUGAACGUUUCAUCGUUGAAACCUCUUAAAGGUGGAAUGUGUGGCAGAAAGAACGUCUGAGAAGCUCACGCGAUUUGCAGAAGGAACAUUUGUAGAAGAUUCCCUGUUUUCCGAAGGAAUGUCAAGUUCCAAAGGUCAGAGACUCACAUGAAUUCUUUCCGUUUUAGGAACCAUACAUUGUUGCUAUUGUAAAGAGUGUGGUACUGACGUCGUUGGGCAUAAUUUGAAUGUCUAGAAAAAGUGAGCUUAGGGAAGAUUUUUGAGCAGUCCAGAACAGGAGGGGUAGAGGAUAUAUUUUGCGGGCCACGGCCACAUUCUCAGGAUGCUCGUGGCUUUAAAUA